rnacentral:ncRNA from 1 species
CAGGUGGCGGCGCAGUAUCCGCUGAAAAGGGAAGAUGGUGUAAAUCCAUCGCGGUCCCGCCACUGUAAUCGGGGACGAAACUCAUUAACGCCACUGCUCGUUAUGAACGGCGGGAAGGCUUGAGGAGUAGGAUGAUCCGUUAGUCAGGAGACCUGCCUGUAGAU